rnacentral:rRNA from 1 species
AGAGUUUGAUCCUGGCUCAGGAUGAACGCUAGCGGCAGGCUUAACACAUGCAAGUCGAGGGGCAGCGCGGGAUAGCAAUAUCCUGGCGGCGACCGGCGGAAGGGUGCGUAACGCGUGAGCGACAUGCCCGUUGCCCGGGGACAACCGGUGGAAACGCCGACUAAUCCCCGAUGGGAUAUUGUGCCGCAUGGCACGAUAUUGAAAGUUACGGCGGCGACGGAUUGGCUCGCGUCCGAUUAGCUGGUUGGCGGGGUGACGGCCCACCAAGGCUACGAUCGGUAGGGGUUCUGAGAGGAAGGCCCCCCACAAUGGGACUGAGACACGGCCCAUACUCCUACGGGAGGCAGCAGUGAGGAAUAUUGGUCAAUGGGCGGAAGCCUGAACCAGCCAUGCCGCGUGCGGGAAGGAGGCCCUAUGGGCUGUGAACCGCUUUUGCCUGGGGGCAAUAAGGGCGUCGCGCACGUCCGAUGAGAGUACCAGGCGAAUAAGCAUCGGCUAACUCCGUGCCAGCAGCCGCGGUAAUACGGGGGAUGCGAGCGUUAUCCGGAUUCAUUGGGUUUAAAGGGUGCGUAGGCUGUGCGUCAAGUCGGGGGUGAAAUUCCGGUGCUCAACACCGGGGCUGCCCUUGAUACUGUCGCGCUGGAGUGCGGAUGCCGCCGGAGGAAUGAGUGGUGUAGCGGUGAAAUGCUUAGAUAUCACUCAGAACACCGAUUGCGAAGGCAUCUGGCGAAUCCGUAACUGACGCUGAGGCACGAAAGCGUGGGGAUAGAACAGGAUUAGAUACCCUGGUAUUCCACGCCGUAAACGAUGAUGGCUAACCGCCGGCGACACACUGUCGGUGGCCAAGCGAAAGCGAUAAGCCAUCCACCUGGGGAGUACGUCGGCAACGAUGAAACUCAAAGGAAUUGACGGGGGCCCGCACAAGCGGAGGAACAUGUG